ensembl:lncRNA
CCUUUCAAACGAAAAAGAAGACCUCAGGAGCACGCUUCACAAGCUCAAGACUGCAGCACGGCAAGCUGGCAAGAGAGGAUUCUGAACUGCCAUCCUUUACACUUCCAGCCACAGCGGGCUCUGUCACGUACAGCUGCGUAGUAACCGACGGGCAGUGGCAGGGCCCUUUCUUGCCGCUCCUCUGAUACUUAAGACCAAAUCUAGAAAGAAAUCGAAGCAGUUGUUCUCUGUAGAAACUAUGCCUAACCUUGUUCCUUCUACCAGCAGACAAGCCCAACACAUGCCUGCCAGUCCAAUGGUGGGUAGAAGUGUUUUGUUUGUUGUUUUGGUUGCCGUUUUUUUUGGUUUUUCUGUGUGUGUGGGGGGGGGGAGGGGGGGAAUGUCAUGUUUCCGAAAGAAGUGUAGUAUUUUGGAGAGAAAAUGUUUUGUUUUCGUUUGAAAGGUGGUAUUUUGUGGGAGAUGAUGCUUAACUGUGGGGCGAAAAGUAGGAUCUGGGGGAGAAAAUCCACUUCUGGGGGGAAAGAAUAGGACAUUUUCUCCCCCAAGUACCCCUUGUCUCACCGAAACAAGACUCUUUCUCCACUAAAUACCACUGCUCUCCACAAAACAUGACUUCUCGCCUGCCAAAUACAAAGCUGUUUGCUUUCCAAAAAGACGACGUUUCCUUCGCGCGCUCCCUUUUUUCUCCACAACAUGCAAAUUCUCUCUCCAAAACAGGACAGUUUCUCCCCCAAACGCUACUUUUCUCCAGAACAUAGGGCCCUUCCUUCGCGCAUCAUGCCACAUUUCUCCUGAAAAUAUACAGCUCUUCCUUGCAAAAUACCACUUUUCUCCCAAAGACAUGACCAUUUUUCUUCCCACACCAUACCACUCUUCUCCAAAACUACGAUCUCUCCUCUCAAAAACGCCACUUUUCUCCCAAAAAUACGACCGUUUCUUCCCCUCGGGACCUCUUUUCUCCUCCAUAGAUGAGACUUUCUCGACCCAAAUCUCACUUUCGUCAAGAAAAGAAGGCAUUUUC